rnacentral:rRNA from 1 species
UACGGAGGGUGCAAGCGUUAUCCGGAUUUACUGGGUUUAAAGGGUGUGUAGGCGGGCUUUUAAGUCAGUGGUGAAAUCUCCGGGCUCAACCUGGAAACUGCCAUUGAUACUAUUAGUCUUGAAUUUUGUUGAGGUGGGCGGAAUAAGUCAUGUAGCGGUGAAAUGCUUAGAUAUGACUUAGAACACCAAUUGCGAAGGCAGCUCACUAAGCAAAUAUUGACGCUGAGGCACGAAAGCGUGGGGAUCAAACAGG